GGGUUGUGAGGUUAAGCGACUAAGCGUACACGGUGGAUGCCCUGGCAGUCAGAGGCGAUGAAGGACGUGCUAAUCUGCGAUAAGCGUCGGUAAGGUGAUAUGAACCGUUAUAACCGGCGAUUUCCGAAUGGGGAAACCCAGUGUGUUUCGACACACUAUCAUUAACUGAAUCCAUAGGUUAAUGAGGCGAACCGGGGGAACUGAAACAUCUAAGUACCCCGAGGAAAAGAAAUCAACCGAGAUUCCCCCAGUAGCGGCGAGCGAACGGGGAGCAGCCCAGAGCCUGAAUCAGUGUGUGUGUUAGUGGAAGCGUCUGGAAAGGCGCGCGAUACAGGGUGACAGCCCCGUACACAAAAAUGCACAUGCUGUGAGCUCGAUGAGUAGGGCGGGACACGUGGUAUCCUGUCUGAAUAUGGGGGGACCAUCCUCCAAGGCUAAAUACUCCUGACUGACCGAUAGUGAACCAGUACCGUGAGGGAAAGGCGAAAAGAACCCCGGCGAGGGGAGUGAAAAAGAACCUGAAACCGUGUACGUACAAGCAGUGGGAGCACGCUUAGGCGUGUGACUGCGUACCUUUUGUAUAAUGGGUCAGCGACUUAUAUUCUGUAGCAAGGUUAACCGAAUAGGGGAGCCGAAGGGAAACCGAGUCUUAACUGGGCGUUAAGUUGCAGGGUAUAGACCCGAAACCCGGUGAUCUAGCCAUGGGCAGGUUGAAGGUUGGGUAACACUAACUGGAGGACCGAACCGACUAAUGUUGAAAAAUUAGCGGAUGACUUGUGGCUGGGGGUGAAAGGCCAAUCAAACCGGGAGAUAGCUGGUUCUCCCCGAAAGCUAUUUAGGUAGCGCCUCGUGAAUUCAUCUCCGGGGGUAGAGCACUGUUUCGGCAAGGGGGUCAUCCCGACUUACCAACCCGAUGCAAACUGCGAAUACCGGAGAAUGUUAUCACGGGAGACACACGGCGGGUGCUAACGUCCGUCGUGAAGAGGGAAACAACCCAGACCGCCAGCUAAGGUCCCAAAGUCAUGGUUAAGUGGGAAACGAUGUGGGAAGGCCCAGACAGCCAGGAUGUUGGCUUAGAAGCAGCCAUCAUUUAAAGAAAGCGUAAUAGCUCACUGGUCGAGUCGGCCUGCGCGGAAGAUGUAACGGGGCUAAACCAUGCACCGAAGCUGCGGCAGCGACGCUUAUGCGUUGUUGGGUAGGGGAGCGUUCUGUAAGCCUGCGAAGGUGUGCUGUGAGGCAUGCUGGAGGUAUCAGAAGUGCGAAUGCUGACAUAAGUAACGAUAAAGCGGGUGAAAAGCCCGCUCGCCGGAAGACCAAGGGUUCCUGUCCAACGUUAAUCGGGGCAGGGUGAGUCGACCCCUAAGGCGAGGCCGAAAGGCGUAGUCGAUGGGAAACAGGUUAAUAUUCCUGUACUUGGUGUUACUGCGAAGGGGGGACGGAGAAGGCUAUGUUGGCCGGGCGACGGUUGUCCCGGUUUAAGCGUGUAGGCUGGUUUUCCAGGCAAAUCCGGAAAAUCAAGGCUGAGGCGUGAUGACGAGGCACUACGGUGCUGAAGCAACAAAUGCCCUGCUUCCAGGAAAAGCCUCUAAGCAUCAGGUAACAUCAAAUCGUACCCCAAACCGACACAGGUGGUCAGGUAGAGAAUACCAAGGCGCUUGAGAGAACUCGGGUGAAGGAACUAGGCAAAAUGGUGCCGUAACUUCGGGAGAA
rnacentral:rRNA from 1 species